GUCCUAUAAAAUAGGAGGCUCAUACAUAGCAGAGGCUGACUGCGCCAGGGCAGACCUGGACUAGGAAGCCAGGGAAAAUGCACUAGUCGUUGCCAGACAGGCUGGGCAUGUUUCUCACCAGGUCAAGAGUUGAUUGAAUCUGGAUCAGCAGCUGCUGAGAGCUAACUGUGCAGGCACUGCCCUGUGUUCAGACGGCAAGGCCCCUGGAAAUCUACCGUGGAGGGUGCAAGGAGACCCAGCUUAGCACCACAUAUCUGCAUGGUACUUUCAAGAUGAAAGAAGAUAAUGUAUGAGGAAACCCUUUGCAAACCCCAAAGAGCUACCCAAAUAUAAGAAUAAUGGGGGAUACAGGCAAACAUUCUCCUAUCGGGUCAGAAAAUAUUAUGUUUCCACAUGAGUCUAUUCAGAAGAGAAAACAGAAGGGCUCCAGAAUGUGGCGGGGUGAGAGGGGGCAGCGUUGGACACGCAAGUGGAGAAGCGCAACAGAAAUGAGACCAGAGCAAAAUUCUGGCUUCCAGUUGUCAUUGGUAUGAAGCCCAAUCGGGUCAAGACCCGCUCUGACUAAACUAUGCGUCUGUUAAGGAGAGGUACCGAUUUCCUGUCUGGAAGGAUCCUUAACACUGGAAAUAACACACCACCACCACAAAAAACCUCUUAACUCAGCGCUCUGUUAGCCAGCAGAAAGACAAACCAAAGCUAAUAUUUACUAAGAAUUGAUUGUGUAGGAGACACUGUUCUAAGUACCUUCUAUUAUUAGUUUAUAUAUUCCUCCCAGUGGGAUUCUUGGCCCCACCUAACAGAUAAGGAAACUGAGCUGCAGAGAGGUGAAGUCACCCGGGCAGCCUCGCUGAGACAUCUUCCAAGGAAAGGGAAGUUGGUGGGGCAAAGGCCCAGGGGCUACCGCUCGUGGGUGUGUGGUUGUUCUUUUCACCCUACAUAGACAUUUGUGGAUACUUUUGUAUGAAUGCUUUAUGUCUUGGUAUAUUUUUUUUGAAAUGAUGGGCCAGGGAAAAGCCAGGAGAGACUUCCACAUGCCUGCUGCUCCGGUCCCAGGCCGUGGAGCCUGCUCAGUGGCUUGUUCUGGGCGGUCUGUUUACUGACAACACAGAGCAAACAAGGCGCUGGUGCGGACAUCAGGGGAGCAGCUGCUCAGUGUGCAGAAAACCUUGAGCGCGGUUUGCAGAGUAAACGGACCCUCAUUUGGACAAAUCCCGCUGGGACCUGGGGCCUACGAAAGAUAGAGCGGCAAAGGGUUGUUGACACGGAUGUCUCCACGGGCUGAAGUUAGGAAACAGAGGAGCGGCCCAGGAAUGUGAGAGGCUUCUCUCCUCAACCCUGAGGUCACCACUGCCAAGGACUCAGCUGCCGGGACUGAAGAGGAAAUGCACCUGAAGCCGUCUGUUGCCUUGGGUGUUUGUGGUGGGUGUGCGGCUGAAGGGAAGGUGAAGAGAAGGCAGCAGCACCGGAUCAAGGUGUUGUUUAGAUGCUUUUACCAGCUUAAUCACCUUGCAGAUUAGCACAGGCUGAAACUGCGCAAAACUGAGCUGGUGAGAGGAAAUAACAGGAGUAAAAGUCAUUUAAAGAGAGAGAGAUCUCAACGCACAUGGUCUAAGACAGAGCGUCUCAGACUUUACUGUGCGUGCACAUCAUCCCCUGGGAUAAAGACAGGUAGAUGUGGGUCUGAGCCUUGACAUCUCUGCCUCCUUGUUGUGUAUCUUGGGCAAGUCACCUAGCUUUGCUGGAUGUCGGUCUUUCCAAAAUGAAGCACUUGGGGAGCCUCAUUUGUACAACCAGCAUGCUCCACAGGGUUGCUGCAGAGACAGACUGAGAUUGUGUGCAAGCAAAAAGCAGCAUGCAGGUCUGGCACACGGUGAGUGUCCACUAAAUGAUAGCUAACUUUGUUCUGCUCGUUGCUAUCAACAAAUAUUGUUUGGAAAAAUUCUGGCAUGGCACUGUGGUAGACUGUCCCGGUGCCCGCGCGUGCCCCUGUUGUGUGACGGUUGGUGGCAAACGUAGCUGUGCUCUCUUCCAGAGAACUGCCUUCUGCUGAAGGGCAUCGCAUUGCCUGAAAAUGCCCGCCGACUGACUCAUUCAGGUCUGUAGCAGGUGCCGACCACCUCUCCUGGCAACAGCUGCCCGGCCAGUCCGGAGACCCCAGCUGUGUCUGUGAUGACUCCUGCCAACGAAGUCCUUUCUGAUGAGCUGAAUCUCCCUCCUCCUCUCUUUCUAGAGUAACACUGAAAACGGAAAGAAUGAACCCAAGGAUGGGCUACAUGACCCAGAUGGGGCUGGCGCUGAGGGCAGAGCCUGGAGAAAGAGCAUCUCUGGCCCGGGCAUGCUGCUUGGAACAUGCACCCGUCGGGAGCACAGCUGUCAGCAAUGCCAACGAGUAAUGGGGAGGCAGAGAUGAGCGGGACCUGGAAAAGGCUAGUUUCCUAGUAUCAUCACCAUUUAUCUUUGGCAAACCCUGGGAUGGAUGAAAAGCAGAAGGCUGGACCACAGUGACAGUCAGGAGACUGAGUUUUGCACACUGUCCUCAAGCCCUUUUCUGAAGGGUUACUAGAUGGGAAAUCAGCAGGACACAGAGACAAUAUCAAUCUCAGAAUCCUGGAAAGUGGCACCUUCAGCUCUUGGAUGGGGCGCUGAGGCUCUUGGAGAUUUGGGGAUGCCCUGAUCACAGCUGGUGAGGGGCAGAGGUUUUACUGGCCCUGACUCCUUGCUGCUGUGGGCCAGGGCUCUCCUUACUAUGGGGCAAGAAAGGAGCUGUCAUUUAAUGAGUGUUUUCUGCAUUCUGGACACUUCACCCAUUUCCUCAAUCAAUUCCCACCCAGAGGAACCAUUAUCCCAUAUUCCAGAUGCACCACCUGAGGCCCAACAGGAUGGACAACCUACUGGACGUCCACCGACAGGAAGUGGGGAGGCUUGUUACAAACACCAUCUAUUGCACUUUUUUUGUUUUUUGCUUUUUAACGUAAUCAUUUUCAAUGUCUUUCAGGAUUUCUUUGGGAGGAAGAUGGAGAAACAUGACUGGAUGACAGCAUGAAAAGGUGGAUUCACGUUUGCGUGGGACAAGCCAUGAAGCAGGUGUCUGGUACCUUCGCCAUGCUCCUAGGGAAGACGUGACAUAGUGAGAGCAUGGUCCAGAAACGGGGUUGCCCCAGAGGAAGGCUAGUGGAAAGCCCCCGGAUGAAGCUGAAGAGGGAGGACCUCCAAGUCCUACAUUUAGAUCCCAACUAUUUAAUUUCAGAAACAUGGCACUGAGGAGGUCUGAUGGUCACCUCACUUGACUGAAGUGUCCAGGGACCCCACCCCUUUGCUUGGUACCAAUUUCCCUGCUCUGGGCUCUCUGGGGGCAGAAGCCCCGGCGUGAGAGCCAGGGCCACACUUUUGCCCCGUGACCAGCAUGGGCCCGGGACCCAGUGUCCAUUCACUUUAUAUUUGCCAAAAGAACAGUCUCAUGUGUCAUAACAAAACACAAGCGACUUCCCAACAUGUUCAUAAAAGAAGGGCAUGCACAAUAGGCCUCCACUUCGCUUUCGAAAGACUGCUGAUGUUUGCAUUUUAACAACUUUAAGAGUAAUGCCUAGAUCUUAGAAGUGGAGAAUUGUCCUACAACUUGUUAACAUCCUGUUAAUCUCAUCAGCCAAAGUGGUUUAAAAUACUUCAACUUCAAAUUUGUGUGAUCGAUUUUCAAGUAAACUAUGUGACUUGUGAUGUCCUCCCC